AUUGAACGCUGGCGGCAGGCCUAACACAUGCAAGUCGAGCGGAUGAAGGGAGCUUGCUCCUGGAUUCAGCGGCGGACGGGUGAGUAAUGCCUAGGAAUCUGCCUGGUAGUGGGGGAUAACGUCCGGAAACGGGCGCUAAUACCGCAUACGUCCUGAGGGAGAAAGUGGGGGAUCUUCGGACCUCACGCUAUCAGAUGAGCCUAGGUCGGAUUAGCUAGUUGGUGGGGUAAAGGCCUACCAAGGCGACGAUCCGUAACUGGUCUGAGAGGAUGAUCAGUCACACUGGAACUGAGACACGGUCCAGACUCCUACGGGAGGCAGCAGUGGGGAAUAUUGGACAAUGGGCGAAAGCCUGAUCCAGCCAUGCCGCGUGUGUGAAGAAGGUCUUCGGAUUGUAAAGCACUUUAAGUUGGGAGGAAGGGCAGUUAGUUAAUACCUUGCUGUUUUGACGUUACCAACAGAAUAAGCACCGGCUAACUUCGU
rnacentral:rRNA from 1 species